ACACGACUACAUUAGAUACCCGUGUAGUCCAGGGUGUAAACGCUGCGGGCUUGGUGUUGGGGGUCCUUAGUGGGCGCCCAGUGCCGGAGAGAAGUUGUUAAGCCUGCUGCUUGGGGAGUAUGUCCGCAAGGAUGAAACUUAAAGGAAUUGGCGGGGGGAGCACCGCAACGGGAGGAGCGUGCGGUUCAAUUGGAUUCAACGCCGAAAAACUCACCAGGAGCGACGGAUAUAUGAAGGUCAAGCUGAUGACUUUACCUGAUUUUCCG
rnacentral:rRNA from 1 species